rnacentral:ncRNA from 2 species
AUCAUCUUUCGCGACUGACGGAAUCAAGGUGGUUACCACCGGGGAGCGGGAGAAUAUAUAAGUUCUUGUCGACCGUCUGGGCAACAGGU